AACGCACAUUGCGCCCAUAAGUAUUCUUGUGGGCAUGCCUGUUCGAGCGUCAUUUCAUUCUUCAGUUUUAACUGAUGUUGAGAAUUGCGAUCUUAUUGCAGUUUUCUAAAGAAAUUGGCAAGCAAAUGUAAAAGCCGAGUGUAGUAAAUCUUCUCACUUUGGAUCUUACUUUUGACUUUCGAAGUGUUUAACACAAAGUGUUGACCUCGAAUCAGGUAGGAAUACCCGCUGAACUUAA
rnacentral:misc_RNA from 1 species